UACAGAGGGUGCGAGCGUUAAUCGGAAUUACUGGGCGUAAAGCGUGCGUAGACGGCUAUCUAAGUCGGGUGUGAAAGCCCCGGGCUCAACCUGGGAAUUGCAUUCGAGACUGAAUAGCUAGGGUGCGGUAGAGGGAAGCGGAAUUUCCGGUGUAGCGGUGAAAUGCGUAGAUAUCGGAAGGAACUUCAGUGGCGAAAGCGGCUUCCUGGACCAGCACCGACGUUCAGGCACGAAAGCGUGGGGAGCAAACAGG
rnacentral:rRNA from 1 species